rnacentral:lncRNA from 1 species
CUGGGCCGCAUGCAUGCCAGGCGAGCUCGCUACCGCUUGAGCCACAUCCCCAGCCCCGAAUGAAUGUUUUCUAUAGCCAGAGCUGACAUGGGCUUGCUCCCUUCUGAGUGCCCAUGGUGACACCAACACCUAGAACACUGAAACACUUUGCCAGCCUUGCCAACAUCCUAGCAUGAAGGGUCACAUAGUUGCCUUUGGUAUAGUCCCUUUCCACCAGAGGUAGACUGGUCACCUUAGGGCUCCAUCUUUGCUUGUUUGGUUCAGGAAAUUUUGUCCCAUUUCAUGUAUAUUUCACUCUUUCCCUCUACUAGCUUCUCUCAGUCUAAAUUCUUACUGUAAUUGACUAUCAGAUAUAUAUUUCUUUUAAUAGUCAACCACUUAAAGACUCCCAGUUUUUUUCUGUCAUUGAGGUGGGGACUGAUCCACUGACAUGGCCCAUUUCCUGUUCAUCCAGGGGUGUGCUGUUUGCUGUGCAUGGGUGCUGCUUCCAUCAGGUAAGCUGAUAGUAGUUACAGACAUUCAUGCUGAGGAGACAAUAGGGUACUGUAUCACAUGUGUUUUGGUAAAUAAAAAUGGAGUUGGG